GCCCGCUUGGCACAGCGGUAAUGCGCCUCACUAGUAUUCAGAAGAAUACUACUAAGGAAGCUUAUGAGGAGAUGACUGGUUCGACUCCAGUAGUGGGCA